rnacentral:rRNA from 1 species
UACGGGGGGGGCAAGCGUUGUUCGGAAUUACUGGGCGUAAAGGGCUCGUAGGCGGCCAACUAAGUCGGAUGUGAAAUCCCCAGGCUUAAUCUGGGAACUGCAUCCGAUACUGGAUGGCUUGAAUCCGGGAGAGGGAUGCAGAAUUCCGCGUGUAGCAGUGAAAUGCGUAGAGAUGCGGAGGAACACCGAUGGCGAAGGCAGCCCCUGGGCCAAUACUGACGCUCAGGCACGAAAGCGUGGGGAG